rnacentral:rRNA from 1 species
GGGGUAUUGCACUUACCGAAGACUAUCAAACUCCGAAUGCCGUAUUCUUUUGCUUGGGAGUCAGACUAUGGGUGAUAAGAUUCAUAGUCAAGAGGGCAACAGCCCAGAUCGUCAGCUAAGGUCCCUAAAUGUAAGUUAAGUGGUAAAGGAUGUGGAAUUGCACAGACAACCAGGAUGUUGGCUUAGAAGCAGCCACUCAUUUAAAGAGUGCGUAAUAGCUCACUGGUCGAGUGAUUCUGCGCCGAAAAUUUCCGGGGCUAAAACUUACUACCGAAGCUACGGCAUCAUUAUGAUGGGUAGGGGAGCUUUCUAUGCGGCUUGAAGCAUGACCGUAAGGACAUGUGGACUGCAUAGAAGUGAGAAUGUUGGCAUGAGUAGCGAGAUGUGGGUGAGAAUCCCACAGGCCGUAAACCCAAGGUUUCCAGGGGAAGGUUCGUCCGCCCUGGGUUAGUCAGGACCUAAGCCGAGGCCGAAAGGCGUAGGUGAUGGACAACAGGUUGAUAUUCCUGUACCACCAAUAACCGUUUGAGAAAUGGGAUGACACAGUAGGAUAAGCUAACCGCACUGUUGGUUAUGUGCGGGCAAGUAUUGAGGCAGUUCCGAUAGGCAAAUCCGUCGGAAUAAUGCUGGGGUACGAUGCGGAGCGAAAUUUAGUAGCGAAGUAGCUGAUUUCACACUGUCGAGAAAAGUCUCUAUCGAGGUUAAAGGUGCCUGUACCGCAAACCGACACAGGUGGGUGAGGAGAGUAUCCUAAGGCCAGCGAGAGAACUGUUGUUAAGGAACUCGGCAAAAUGACCCCGUAACUUCGGGAGAAGGGGUGCCUUCGAAAGAAGGCCGCAGAGAAUAGGCCCAAGCGACUGUUUACCAAAAACAUAGGUUUCUGCUAAGUCGCAAGACGAUGUAUAGGAGCUGACGCCUGCCCGGUGCUGGAAGGUUAAGGGGAUCUGUUAGAGCAAUCGAAGCAGUGAACUUAAGCCCCAGUAAACGGCGGCCGUAACUAUAACGGUCCUAAGGUAGCGAAAUUCCUUGUCGGGUAAGUUCCGACCCGCACGAAAGGCGUAACGAUUUGGGCACUGUCUCAACAACAGACUCGGUGAAAUUGUAAUACCGGUGAAGAUGCCGGUUACCUGCGACAGGACGGAAAGACCCCAUGGAGCUUUACUGUAGCUUGACAUUGAGUCUCGGUGCUACAUGUACAGGAUAGGUGGGAGACUAUGAAGCAUGGACGCCAGUCUGUGUGGAGUCAUCCUUGGGAUACCACCCUUGUAGUACUGGGAUUCUAACCAGAGGCCAUGAAUCUGGUCUUGGGACACUGUCAGGUGGACAGUUUGACUGGGGCGGUCGCCUCCCAAAAAGUAACGGAGGCGCUCAAAGGUUCUCUCAGUACGGUCGGAAAUCGUACGAAGAGUGUAAAGGCAAAAGAGAGCUUGAUUGCAAGACAUACAGGUCGAGCAAGGACGAAAGUCG